UGGUAGAGUGAUAACGUAAGGGAAAAAAUUGAUGUUACCUUACUAUUAGUGUUGUCCAAAUUACUGGUGCCAGAAGACUCGGUAACGCCAGAAACGCAAACGUUAGUCGUCUUAAACAGGCGUAGAGGGUGUGUAGGCUGCUUUUAAUAGAAAUUUUUUUAAAGCUAUGGGUGUAUAAACAAAUUUUAUUGGCUUUGUGCCUUAUAAAAAUAUUAAAACAUCUACCUYCGGGCAACUAAACGAAAUUAUUUAAUAUAUUUUUCAUUAAAUUAAUUUAAAUAAAUAUUUUAUAGUUAGACACAAAAAUUUUUAUAAAUAAAAGCUAGAAUCAGGAUGAGGAUAUUGCGAAUAAUGCUUUGAGUAGGGAUGAUAUCCUUAGAUACAUUGUAGAAUACUCACGGUGAAAACUUUCUGUCCAGUAAUGAUUGACGCUGAGAAACUAAGGUUUGGAGAGGAAAUAGGAUUAGAUACCCAGAUACCCCUUACUGUCAACGAUGAAUGGUAGUUGUUAAAUUGAUAUAAUUUAGUAAUGAGGCUAACGCGUUAACCAUUCCNCCUUGCAAGUACG
rnacentral:rRNA from 1 species